rnacentral:rRNA from 1 species
CCUACGGGUGGCAGCAGUGAGGAAUAUUGGUCAAUGGACGAGAGUCUGAACCAGCCAAGUAGCGUGAAGGAUGACUGCUCUAUGGGUUGUAAACUUCUUUUAUACAGGAAUAAAACGAGGCACGCGUGCCUUUCUGCAUGUACUUUACGAAUAAGGAUCGGCUAACUCCGUGCCAGCAGCCGCGGUAAUACGGAGGAUUCGAGCGUUAUCCGGAUUUAUUGGGUUUAAAGGGUGCGUAGACGGGAUGUUAAGUUAGUUGUGAAAGUUUGCGGCUCAACUGUAGAAUUGCAAUUGAUACUGGCAGGCUUGAGUACAGUUGAGGUAGGCGGAAUGCGUGGUGUAGCGGUGAAAUGCUUAGAUAUCACACAGAACCCCGAUUGCGAAGGCAGCUUACUAAGCUAUGACUGACGUUGAUGCACGAAAGUGUGGGUAUCAAACAGGAUUAGAUACCCGGGUAGUC